rnacentral:rRNA from 1 species
AGCGAACGCUGGCGGCGUGCCUAACACAUGCAAGUCGAACGGGAUUCGGAGCUUGCUCCGAUGAGAGUGGCGCACGGGUGAGUAACGCGUAGAUAAUCUGCCUGAUGAUCUGGGAUAACAGUUCGAAAGGACUGCUAAUACCGGAUAAGCCCACGGAGACCUUGGUCUUUGCGGGAAAAGGGGGGGACCUUCGGGCCUUCCGUCAUCAGAUGAGUCUGCGUACCAUUAGCUAGUUGGUAGGGUAAAGGCCUACCAAGGCGACGAUGGUUAGCUGGUCUGAGAGGAUGAUCAGCCAAACUGGAACUGGGACACGGUCCAGACUCCUACGGGGGGCAGCAGUGGGGAAUUUUGCGCAAUGGGGGAAACCCUGACGCAGCAACGCCGCGUGAGUGAUGAAGGCUCUUGGGUCGUAAAGCUCUGACAGAGGGAAAGAAGUGUAUGGUGGUUAAUACCCAUUGUACUUGACGGUACCCUCGAAGGAAGCACCGGCUAACUCCGUGCCAGCAGCCGCCGUAAUAC